rnacentral:rRNA from 1 species
GCGGCGGACGGGUGAGUAAUACCUAGGAAUCUGCCUGAUAGUGGGGGACAACGUUUCGAAAGGAACGCUAAUACCGCAUACGUCCUACGGGAGAAAGCAGGGGACCUUCGGGCCUUGCGCUAUCAGAUGAGCCUAGGUCGGAUUAGCUAGUUGGUGAGGUAAUGGCUCACCAAGGCGACGAUCCGUAACUGGUCUGAGAGGAUGAUCAGUCACACUGGAACUGAGACACGGUCCAGACUCCUACGGGAGGCAGCAGUGGGGAAUAUUGGACAAUGGGCGAAAGCCUGAUCCAGCCAUGCCGCGUGUGUGAAGAAGGUCUUCGGAUUGUAAAGCACUUUAAGUUGGGAGGAAGGGCAGUAAGCUAAUACCUUGCUGUUUUGACGUUACCGACAGAAUAAGCACCGGCUAACUCUGUGCCAGCAGCCGCGGUAAUACAGAGGGUGCAAGCGUUAAUCGGAAUUACUGGGCGUAAAGCGCGCGUAGGUGGUUCGUUAAGUUGGAUGUGAAAUCCCCGGGCUCAACCUGGGAACUGCAUCCAAAACUGGCGAGCUAGAGUAGGGCAGAGGGUGGUGGAAUUUCCUGUGUAGCGGUGAAAUGCGUAGAUAUAGGAAGGAACACCAGUGGCGAAGGCGACCACCUGGGCUCAUACUGACACUGAG